AUUGAACGCUGGCGGCAUGCCUUACACAUGCAAGUCGAACGGCAGCACGGGAGCAAUCCUGGUGGCGAGUGGCGAACGGGUGAGUAAUAUAUCGGAACGUGCCCGGUCGUGGGGGAUAACGUAGCGAAAGCUACGCUAAUACCGCAUACGAUCUACGGAUGAAAGCGGGGGAUCGCAAGACCUCGCGCGAUUGGAGCGGCCGAUAUCAGAUUAGGUAGUUGGUGAGGUAAAGGCUCACCAAGCCGACGAUCUGUAGCUGGUCUGAGAGGACGACCAGCCACACUGGGACUGAGACACGGCCCAGACUCCUACGGGAGGCAGCAGUGGGGAAUUUUGGACAAUGGCGCAAGCCUGAUCCAGCAAUGCCGCGUGCAGGAUG
rnacentral:rRNA from 1 species